rnacentral:rRNA from 1 species
UUGAACGCUGGCGGCAGGCCUAACACAUGCAAGUCGAACGGUAACAGGAAGCAGCUUGCUGCUUCGCUGACGAGUGGCGGACGGGUGAGUAAUGUCUGGGAAGCUGCCUGAUGGAGGGGGAUAACUACUGGAAACGGUAGCUAAUACCGCAUAAUGUCGCAAGGCCAAAGAGGGGGACCUUCGGGCCUCUUGCCAUCGGAUGUGCCCAGAUGGGAUUAGCUUGUUGGUGGGGUAACGGCUCACCAAGGCGACGAUCCCUAGCUGGUCUGAGAGGAUGACCAGCCACACUGGGACUGAGACACGGUCCAGACUCCUACGGGAGGCAGCAGUGGGGAAUAUUGCACAAUGGGCGCAAGCCUGAUGCAGCCAUGCCGCGUGUAUGAAGAAGGCCUUCGGGUUGUAAAGUACUUUCAGCGGGGAGGAAGGGAGUAAAGUUAAUACCUUUGCUCAUUGACGUUACCCGCAGAAGAAGCACCGGCUAACUCCGUG